UUUAAUUUUCAAACUAUACUAAAGACAGAAAUAUUUAUUUGUUCUGUAUUAAUGAACAUAAUGAACCAUUUCUUGUACUAACCAGAUGAUCAAUGGGUCGGAUGAGUUGAAGGAAUGAACUAUAUCGAAUGGUUGUAAAGUUGAUGAUUUGGUGGAGUAUCUUUGUGGCCACGUAGAACUAUUGUGAUAAAUAUCAUGUAGUAUAGUGACACAUGUAGGCUAUUAUGGCACAUUAGAAGAAAAUAAGUUAUGAUUUCACUUUGAUUGCCUUUUCUUGAGAAGUGAAGCUUUAAAACUCAUGAAGGCCAAUACAGGAAGAAGGAGAUCUUGUAUCUGAAUUUCCAGUGCAUGGACAUUUGACAAGAAGCAAAAGCUGUGGCAAAAUGGCCAUACCAUGUUCUAUUUCUAGGAGUGUUGAACUGAAAGUGACACAAUUCCACAAAAUGAUUAGGAGAUUAAUCAAAAUGGAAAAAUUUAUGAGAUGCCCAAGUAAUGAAAAAUCCCUCUGAUCAUCCAUAAUCUACGUUUAGAAUGUGUCCUCCUCUACCAACAAGCACAUGUACUUGGAUUCUGGCUCCAUUAAAUCAGUGCAAGCUUAUGUCAAAAAGUGAAGUUGUGUUUUAAUCUGUAGCAAUGAUAGGCUUCUGGAACUGGCAAGAAGCAACAAAAUUUUCUGAUGGUCUGUCCUUGGUGAAGUCAUAUCAGCUUCUUUUGCUAUUGAUAAUGCCAUAGUUUCUGCUACUUCUUCUUUGAAAGUGAUUGGAAAUAGGUCAAAUCUGAUCUACAAUCUACCUCCGCCGUCCAGCUUUGGAAUAUUUCAUCUUGCAUUGUGGAAGAUCGCUCGAAUCUUCAGUCGCUUUGCUGCCCUUAAUAUCACCAAAUGGACAGCUGAUUCUGUUUUUAAUGAUGCUGAAGAGUGUUGUGAAUGACUCUUUGUUUAUUUUAUUUUCGUUGAUAACAUGAACAUUCAUUGUUUGCUCUAUGACUUCAAAAUAUUUGACUGAGAUAUGUAUUUUAUUUUCAAUGAAGUCCCAUUUGAGAUUGCUAUUGUGUUUUUCGAAUCAAUUCACAAUGAAAAGUUGUUUAUAAUUUUAAAUAAUUUUCUGCAAUUGACUAUCCAAUAUAUAUCACUUUCCUGCA